rnacentral:lncRNA from 1 species
UCGAAAGGAAGAAAGGAACACGGGGGAGGUAUGCUUAUAUUUUCAUUUUUUCUGAUUUUAUUUUGUUUUGUAUGUUAUCGAUGUUCACAAUCUCUCUUUUGAAAGCUAGGGCUUCUGAUGCUACUAAGGUUUAACGAUAGCGAUUUUCAAUUUGGUCACUAAUCGAUCCCUUUUUCUUUCCCUUCGGCUUGGUCUUUUCCUUCUUUUUUGACCUACCCAUUUUCUCAAUCCAUAUUCGUUGUUCCCAUAAUUUAAUAUCCAUAUAUACGACGUAUGUUGAUGAGAAUAAGAAGUAGAGGAUGAAUCACAGUGGUAUUCAACCGCCAUAGAGAGCUAAAAAGAUUUUUUUUGCUAUCAGAAGGUGUAGGUCGAGAUCUCGUUGGUGUAUACAUCUCCAAUCUCCUGGUAAAACGCUACCUAAAGUACCACUCUCACCUCUACCCUCUUUCAUCUAGUUUUUGCAUGUUUUCAUAUGUUGCUUCACCGCGGUUAACAACUUCAAACCCAUGCUCAGCCUACGUUUCUUUUUCUAAAAAGGUAAAUUUUUUCCAUUUUCUCGAAUUUCUUCAUAAUCUCUAUAUUAUUUGGUUUGGAUUUUUGAUAAGAACAAGAUUUUGGUUUCGAUUUUUCAUAAGAACCGUAUGAUCUAUUUGGUUUUGUGCUUGGAUUUAACCAUCUUGCUUAUGUUUGGGUAUUAUUUGUAAGGAGAUAUGUGAGUGUUAAAGGUAUUGAAGAUUGAGGAAAAUACAUCAUUUUUAUGUCGUGAUAGAGGAGUAGAAAAAGCAAGUUAUCUUUGUGCAUAUUUGGGAUCCUUCAAAUAAGAAGGUGAAACUCUGGACUUACUAUUCUUUUUUGUUUUGUAUAUUUCAAGAUGUAUCAUUACUAGAACAUUUUAACAAAACCAAAACUGUAAAGACUGUAUAUUUUGAUUAAUAAGAUUUUGAUCUUGAAUCUGAUCCAACUCUUCUUCUUUUUCUUGAAUUUCUCAUUUCGUUUUUUCAACCAAAACAUAUAUGGCGAUAUCGGUACUAGAAAGCACCCAAUAAGACCAGGAAAUAUAGGACGAGAUUAGGCCAAGAGAAAUCAAGAUGAGGUGUAAACUGUAAGUGGUGAGUCUAUGGAUUUAUUUAUGCCUUUUUAGUCAUUUUUUGGAUUUAAUAAUCUUGGAUUUGUUAUAUUUGGCAGAUUACAAGACAAGUAUCCCAGGUGUUCAAUAAAAUGCCUAAAAUAAUGUUUGCUUAAGUGUAAGAUAAUUUGUUUUAGAUAAGGUAAAGAAGAGGAUAUAAAUCGAAAUAUCUGAGAUUCGAUCUAGCCUGAACAUGAAGAACGAUAUCCCUUUCUCUAUUUUUGAACCGGAUUCUUUGAAAUGUUCUCUUUCACUCUUUAUGGAAUACUAAUGAUUUUGAUAAUAAUUUUAAUUUUGUUGAUGUCAAUUAUUCAUGAAGAGUUGAAUAUAACAUCAUAAUCUUUCUUCAAUUUUCAUCAUUGGUGUAUUUGAUAUCGCUGAACUUAAGAUUAGUACUAAUGACUAUUUUAUUUGUAAAUUUGCUGUUUAAUUUGAUUGGGAACAAAGGGAGAAGAACAUACUAAAACCAGCCAUUUGUAAAAGACAAUGCAAAUGCUAGAAUGAGGUUUAUGACAUGCUAAUUAGCCCACUGAUCUAUUAACAGAUGUUACUAAAUCAUGCAAAGAUCUUGUAAAAGGCCAGCGAUGUUUCUAUUCAAAGGUAUAGCCAUAGUUUUUUGAUUGUUUAUGGUUUCGAAAUGAUCAGUACAUCCUUCUGUUUUCAUUCAAUAUAGUUUCUUGUAAAAAAAUUAUUAACAUUUAAUGAUUUACACUAUUAUGUUGAUUAUUGUGACAAUAACUACGGAGGCAUUCUGGAGAUAUAGACCUCAAUGUGUGUAAAAACAUAUUGCAGUUUCUCGUCGUGUGUGGAGGUAAAUUGACCAUACAUCUUUUUAACUACAUUAAAAGUUCGUUUCUACAACUUUUUUUUGACAUUAUUUUAAAAUUUUCUCUUAAAAACAUGUUAAUGUUGUAAAACACAUGCACACAAUUCUUUUUGUAAGAACUUUGUGUAUUUACAAUAAAAAAACUUCUUUUUACAAAUUUGGUUUUACACAAAAUAACAAUUUUGUAAAAAAAUGACACAAAAUAACAAUUUUGUAAAAAAAUGACGUUGGAAAAAAACGAUGUUGGAAAAAACAUGCAAAACUAAUUAAAAAAAUCAAAUUUGUAAAACAAACACGUAGAAAUGAAGUUGUACCAACUAAUAUAUAAAAAAUUGAAUUUGUAGAAAAUGAAUGUUAAAAAAAUCAUGUGAAAACGAAGUCAUUAUGGGAGUUAAGCAUGUUGAUUUGAGUAGUUGGCAAUUAUUAUGUGAACUCAUUGUCGUUUAUUAUAUUUCAAUGGCUUAACUGAUUAUCAUUGUGAUUUGUGAAAGGUUUUCAAAUGGGAGUUGUGGAUACAAGAGCAUGUCAAUAGUGUUUGCUAUUUUAUUGAG